ACAAAUACCAGAGUAAGUUGCUUGAAAUAAUUGAUGCUAUUGAGUUGCCAGAAUUUCUCGGAGGUACUUGUACCUGUGCAGAUCAGGGAGGUUGCCUUCGGUCUGAUAAAGGUCCAUGGAAGGACCCGAACAUAUUGAAGAUGGUUCUUAAUGGUGAAGCACGAUGUGCCCGACAAAUUGUGACCUUUUCAAAUAGUGAUGGGAAGAUCACUUAUGUUAGGCCACAGUAUCCAGCAAUAAAAGGUGGUGAUAUGUCUACUGCUGAGUCUGGAUCAGAAGCUGAACCCACGUCUUCCCCCAAGGCACUGUGGAGUUAUAUUUCACAUCCUCGGUUGACUCCUCUUCGUGAAGAAGUAGGUGUUCAUUAUUUUUA